CCCCGCAGCGGGGUGCAACCGCCCCCCGCUGCUCCUGGGGCUUUUCGCCCCCUGCCUGCGCUCCUCACCGGAGCAACUCCAUAGUAAAGGAAAUCAGUGGUUCAUCGCUCUUGCGGAAAGCAGCAGGCGUAAAGAGCCGGAGAGUGUUGCAGUUGACAGAAAACACAGGCUCAGGGAAGUAGAGAGGUGUUUCCAGUGCAUUCCUUUCCCUCCUGGUGUAGUCCAUAGGUCCAUGGAGAGCCAUCAAGACCAGCAGAAGCUCCUGUAAGUCUCUGUGGUUUCCCUGAAGUGCAUCGGCUAUGAGGCUUUUUGCCAGCUGCUUUAUGCAUUCAUAACUAGAGUGUGACUUCAGUGAGGGUGAUGUAUAGAGACACUAAGAUGACUCAGGCAUCUCCUGCCUAUCUCCUCUCUCUUUUGCCUUCUGUGGAAAAGGGAGCAAGACACAUCCACAUCUCAGUGAGUUAGAACCUCAUCUUGUCUCUGAUGACUCCCACUUCAAGGUCCUGACUGAAGUUAUAAAGAACUCUUCAUUUUGCAUUUUUUUCCUAGGGGAAAGGGGAUAAUUUACAUUCUUUUAUAAUUCUUGAUUACCCAUGGCUGUUAGCUUUCUAAAACAGGUUUGCAUGGUGCCACCCUUAUGAUUUGUAUUAGAAUUCCAGUAUGAUAUGAUGGAAAACUUGGCUUGUGUUUUAGAGAAGUAAUCACAUGAUAUCAUUUAAUUUUUUUUUGAUAUUCAUCCUCACUACUAGAGACAAGAAAAUGUGCAGCCACUGAGAUAGUGUAAAGCUAAUGAAUCUGGUAGAGGGAGGCUCUGUCUGUGUUCCAUGCUAAGCAGAAUCCUGAUCACAGGAUAGCUGGGGAGGCUAGCCCCAUGUGCUGUGUCAUUUGUAUAUGUUGAUUC